rnacentral:rRNA from 1 species
UAACCUGCGGAGGGAUCAUUACCGAGUUUACAACUCCCAAACCCCUGUGAACAUACCUAUACGUUGCCUCGGCGGAUCAGCCCGCGCCCCGUAAAAGGGGACGGCCCGCCCGAGGACCCCUAAACUCUGUUUUUAGUGGAACUUCUGAGUAAAACAAACAAAUAAAUCAAAACUUUCAACAACGGAUCUCUUGGUUCUGGCAUCGAUGAAGAACGCAGCAAAAUGCGAUAAGUAAUGUGAAUUGCAGAAUUCAGUGAAUCAUCGAAUCUUUGAACGCACAUUGCGCCCGCCAGUAUUCUGGCGGGCAUGCCUGUUCGAGCGUCAUUUCAACCCUCAAGCUCAGCUUGGUGUUGGGACUCGCGGUAACCCGCGUUCCCCAAAUCGAUUGGCGGUCACGUCGAGCUUCCAUAGCGUAGUAGUCAUACACCUCGUUACUGGUAAUCGUCGCGGCCACGCCGUAAAACCCCAACUUCUGAAUGUUGACCUCGGAUCAGG